rnacentral:lncRNA from 1 species
GGACCAGGUACAAAAUCCCCUGGGACAAAACAGAACUUUCAUAACUGGCUGUAGAGUUAUUGUUUUUGCCUUUUGGAAGCUUCCACCUUGUGACGGGAAGAGCACUGUCAGCCCAACACAGAAACUCUGCCGCCUGGAGUCACGUGGAUCCAGAUGCGAAGGGACUCCAACGUCAUGCUAAGGAGUUUGGGCUAAGAAUUUGUACAGCCAUAUUACAGAUUUGGAAAAUGAUGUGAAGAGAAGCUAAGGGAUUUGCCACUGCCACUCAGCUGCCAAGGAUCAGAGACAUUACUUCUACUUCUCAACGUCCAUCCUCCAACCAUUGUCCAGUGAUUCAGGCAGAAUUCCCUCCUGCUCAGGAGGUGAGUCGACCCAGUAGUGCCACUGGCUCUGCAACAGGAAUUGGUUAGCAGGGCUUUGCAUCUCCUUGGCCACAGACGUUGGGCAGGUAGCCAUCCUGUGACCCUGGAAGAAACCAGCCCAAGGAAGGUGCUAACCUACAGAAGAAGGACAUGGCCAGGGUAAUCACAUAGACCCGGAGUUGAAGCCCUGACUGCACCACACCCGAAGCCUCCCCACCUUUCAACCUCUCGGUGAUGGUGAACCAAUAAACUCUUUUUAUUGUUCAAGCCA